ACGGGGCGCAGCAGGCGCGAAACCUCUGCAAUAGGCGAAAGCCUGACAGGGUUACUCUGAGUGACUUUCGCUAAGAAAGUCUUUUGGCACCUCUAUAAAGGGUGCAGAAUAAGGGGUGGGCAAGUCUGGUGUCAGCCGCCGCGGUAAUACCAGCACCCCGAGUGGUCGGGACGAUUAUUGGGCCUAAAGCAUCCGUAGCCGGUUCUGCAAGUCCCCCGUUAAAUCCAGCUGCUCAACAGAUGGGCCGCGGAGGAUACUACAGAGCUAGGAGGCAGGAGAGGCAAGCGGUACUCAGUGGGUAGGGGUAAAAUCCGUUGAUCCACUGAAGACCACCAGUGGCGAAGGCGGCUUGCCAGAAUGCGCUCGACGGUGAGGGAUGAAAGCUGGGGGAGCAAACCGGAUUAGAUACCCGGGUAGUCCCAGCCGUAAACGAUGCAGACUCGGUGAUGGGUUGGCUUCGCGCUAACCCAGUGCCGCAGGGAAGCCGUUAAGUCUGCCGCCUGGGUAGUACGGUCGCAAGACUGAAACUCAAAGGAAUUGACGGA
rnacentral:rRNA from 1 species